GAGAUCGGGAGGAAUACCAGUGGCGAAGGCGGCCUUCUGGACUGACACUGACACUGAGGUGCGAAAGCGUGGGUAGCAAACAGGAUUAGAUACCCUGGUAGUCCACGCCGUAAACGAUGUCGACCAGCCGUUGGGUGCCUAGCGCACUUUGUGGCGAAGUUAACGCGAUAAGUCGACCGCCUGGGGGAGUACGGCCGCAAGGUUAAAACUCAAAUGAAUUGACGGGGGGCCCGCACAAGCGGUGGAGCAUGUGGUUUAAUUCGAUGCAACGCGAAGAACCUUCCUACUCUUGACAUCCUGCGAAUUCGGUAGAGAUACCUUAGUGCCUUCGGGAACGCAGAGACAGGUGCUGCAUGGCUGUCGUCAGCUCGUGUUGUGAAAUGUUGGGUUAAGUCCCGUAACGAGCGCAACCCUUGUCCUUAUUUGCCAGCGCGUAAUGGCGGGAACUCUAAGGAGACUGCCGGUGACAAACCGGAGGAAGGUGGGGACGACGUCAAGUCAUCAUGGCCCUUACGAGUAGGGCUACACACGUGCUACAAUGGUCGGUACAAAGGGUUGCCAACUCGCGAGAGUGAGCCAAUCCCGAAAAGCCGAUCUCAGUCCGGAUCGGAGUCUGCAACUCGACUCCGUGAAGUCGGAAUCGCUAGUAAUCGUAGAUCAGAAUGCUACGGUGAAUACGUUCCCGGGCCUUGUACACACCGCCCGUCACACCAUGGGAGUGGACUGCACCAGAAGUGGUUAGCCUAACGCAAGAGGGCGAUCACCACGGUGUGGUUCAUGACUGGGGUGAAGUCGUAACAAGGUAGCCGUAGGGGAACCUGCGGCUGGAUCACCUCCUUAACCGAUGA
rnacentral:rRNA from 1 species